rnacentral:tRNA from 1 species
GACUCCGUAGUUCAGCUGGCAGCGUGUGUGCUGUACAAAAGCGUAGUCGGCGUACAUUCGUGGGUUCGAAUCCCACCGAGGUCA